rnacentral:rRNA from 1 species
AACGAACGCUGGCGGCAGGCUUAACACAUGCAAGUCGAGCGAAGACUUCGGUCUUAGCGGCGGACGGGUGAGUAACGCGUGGGAACGUGCCCUUCUCUACGGAACAGUCCUGGGAAACCGGGUUUAAUACCGUAUACGCCCUUUUGGGGAAAGAUUUAUCGGAGAAGGAUCGGCCCGCGUUGGAUUAGGUAGUUGGUGGGGUAAUGGCCUACCAAGCCUACGAUCCAUAGCUGGUUUGAGAGGAUGAUCAGCCACACUGGGACUGAGACACGGCCCAGACUCCUACGGGAGGCAGCAGUGGGGAAUCUUGGACAAUGGGGGCAACCCUGAUCCAGCGACGCCGCGUGGGUGACGAAGGCCUUCGGGUCGUAAAGCCCUUUCGCCGGGGAAGAUGAUGACGGUACCCGGAGAAGAAGCACCGGCUAACUCCGUGCCAGCCGCCGCCGUAAUAC